CCUACGGGUGGCAGUAGUGAGGAAUAUUGGUCAAUGGACGAGAGUCUGAACCAGCCAAGUAGCGUGAAGGAUGACUGCCCUAUGGGUUGUAAACUUCUUUUAUAUGGGAAUAAAAUGUUCCACGUGUGGGAUUUUGUAUGUACCCUAUGAAUAAGGAUCGGCUAACUCCGUGCCAGCAGCCGCGGUAAUACGGAGGAUCCGAGCGUUAUCCGGAUUUAUUGGGUUUAAAGGGAGCGUAGGUGGAUUGUUAAGUCAGUUGUGAAAGUUUGCGGCUCAACCGUAAAAUUGCAGUUGAAACUGGCAGUCUUGAGUACAGGAGAGGUGGGCGGAAUUCGUGGUGUAGCGGUGAAAUGCUUAGAUAUCACGAAGAACUCCGAUUGCGAAGGCAGUUCACUGGACUGCAACUGACACUGAGGCUCGAAAGUGUGGGUAUCAAACAGGAUUAGAUACCCUUGUAGUC
rnacentral:rRNA from 1 species